AGCGAACGCUGGCGGCAGGCUUAACACAUGCAAGUCGUGCGCCCCGCAAGGGGAGGCGGCAGACGGGAGAGUAACACGUGGGAACGUACCUUUCAGUUCGGAACAACCAAGGGAAACUUUGGUCUAAUACCGGAUACGCCCGUAAGGGGAAAGAUUUAUCGCUGAAAGAUCGGCCCGCGUCUGAUUAGCUUGUUGGUGAGGUAACGGCUCACCAAGGCGACGAUCAGUAGCUGGUCUGAGAGGAUGAUCAGCCUCACUGGGACGUGAGACACGGCCCAGACUCCUACGGGAGGCAGCAGUGGGGAAUAUUGGACAAUGGGCGCAAGCCUGAUCCAGCCAUGCCGCGUGGGUGAUGAAGGCCUUAGGGUUGUAAAGCCCUUUCGGC
rnacentral:rRNA from 1 species